rnacentral:rRNA from 1 species
UACAGAGGGGGCAAGCGUUGUUCGGAAUUACUGGGCGUAAAGGGCGCGUAGGCGGCAGCGCAAGUCGGGCGUGAAAUCCCACGGCUCAACCGUGGAAGUGCACUCGAAACUGCGCAGCUAGAGUCCUGGAGAGGAAGGUGGAAUGCUUGGUGUAGAGGUGAAAUUCGUAGAUAUCAAGCGGAACACCGGUGGCGAAGGCGGCCUUCUGGACAGUGACUGACGCUGAGACGCGAAAGCGUGGGGAGCAAACAGG